GGGGUUGGCACUUUCAAGAUGGCUGCCGUUACCAUGGAAACGGAACAAAUGUAAAAAAAUCCAGUUUUUCGUUUUGGUGAACUGUUUGAAUAUGCUUUAACUCAGAAUCAUUAUAUUUUAAUACAAUGUAUGUGCCCACUAUAUACAGGUGUUGGAUGAUUUUGGUACUCAUUGGAACUACUAUGUUGCCAUGGAAACAAC
rnacentral:lncRNA from 1 species